rnacentral:rRNA from 1 species
AGAGUUUGAUCCUGGCUCAGGAUGAACGCUGGCGGCGUGCUUAACACAUGCAAGUCGAACGUUAGGAGAUAGCAAUAUCUCCAAAAGUGGCGAACGGGUGAGUAACACGUGGGUAAUCUGCCGCGCAGAGGGGGAUAACGACUGGAAACGGUCGCUAACACCGCAUGGUACUAUUUUGACGGGAGUUGAGAUGGUUAAAACCUUGGUGCUGCGCGAGGAGCCUGCGUCCGAUUAGCUAGUUGGUGAGGUAAAGGCUCACCAAGGCGAUGAUCGGUAGCUGGUCUGAGAGGAUGAUCAGUCACACGGGAACUGAGACACGGUCCCGACUCCUACGGGGGGCAGCAGUGAGGAAUAUUGCACAAUGGACGCAAGUCUGAUGCAGCAACGCCGCGUGGAGGAUGAAGGUUUUCGGAUCGUAAACUCCUUUUCUCAGGGAAGAGAACGGACGGUACCUGAGGAAUAAGUCACGGCUAACUACGUGCCAGCAGCCGCGGUAAUACGUAGGUGGCGAGCGUUAUCCGGAAUUACUGGGUGUAAAGCGCACGCAGGCGGUUUUUUAAGUUUGACGUGAAAACUUCUGGCUUAACUGGAAGAGGUCGUUGAAGACUGGGAAACUUGAGGCGAUGAGAGGGAUGUAGAAUUCACGGUGUAGUGGUGGAAUGCGUAGAUACCGUGAGGAAUACCAGUGGCGAAAGCGACAUCCUGGCAUUAGCCUGACGCUCAUGUGCGAAAGCGUGGGGAGCGAACGGGAUUAGAUACCCCGGUAGUCCACGCCGUAAACGAUGAACACUAGGUGUAGGUGGUGUGAAAACCGUCUGUGCCGAAGCCAACGCGUUAAGUGUUCCGCCUGGGGAGUACGGCCGCAAGGCUAAAACUCAAAGGAAUUGACGGGGGCCCGCACAAGCAGCGGAGCGUGUGGUUUAAUUCGAUGCGACGCGAAGAACCUUACCCAGGUUUGACAUGUACGUAGUAGUGAAGCGAAAGCGGAACGACCCUUCGGGGAGCGUACACAGGUGCUGCAUGGCUGUCGUCAGCUCGUGUCGUGAGAUGUUGGGUUAAGUCCCGCAACGAGCGCAACCC